ensembl:snRNA U6 U6 spliceosomal RNA
GUGCUCACUUCUGCAGCACAUAUACUACAAUUGGAACAAUACAGAGAAGAUUAGCAUGGCCCCUGCACAAGGAUGACACGCAAAUUCGUGAAGCCUUCAUAUUUAAC